CGAUUAAGCCAUGCGAGUCGAGAGUCGUAAUGGACUCGGCGGACUGCUCAGUAACACGUGGAUAACGUGCCCUUAAGAGGAGGAUAAUCUCGGGAAAUUGAGGAUAAUACUCCAUAGAUCAUGGGAUCUGGAAUGACCCAUGGUUCAAAGUUCCGGCGCUUAAGGAUCGGUCUGCGGCCUAUCAGGUAGUAGUGGGUGUAACGUACCUACUAGCCUACGACGGGUAUGGGCCUUGAGAGAGGGAGCCCAGAGUUGGAUUCUGAGACACGAAUCCAGGCCCUACGGGGCGCAGCAGUCGCGAAAACUUCACAAUGGGGGCAACCCCGAUGAGGGAAUUCCUAGUGCUAGCACAUUUGUGUUAGCUUUUCUUUAGCUUAGAAAACUAGAGGAAUAAGGGCUGGGUAAGACGGGUGCCAGCCGCCGCGGUAAUACCUGCAGCCCAAGUGGUGGUCGAUUUUAUUGAGUCUAAAACGUUCGUAGCCGGUUCGGUAAAUCUUUGGGUAAAUCGGGGGGCUUAACCUUCCGACUUCCGAGGAGACUGCCGAACUUGGGACCGGGAGAGGCUAGAGGUACUUCUGGGGUAGGGGUAAAAUCCUGUAAUCCUAGAAGGACCACCGGUGGUGAAGGCGUCUAGCUAGAACGGAUCCGACGGUGAGGGACGAAGCCCUGGGUCGCAAACGGGAUUAGAUACCCCGGUAGUCCAGGGUGUAAACGCUGCAGACUUGGUGUUGGAGGCCCUUUGGGGGCAUUCAGUGCCGGAGAGAAGUUGUUAAGUCUGCUACUUGGGGAGUACGUCCGCAAGGAUGAAACUUAAAGGAAUUGGCGGGGGAGCA
rnacentral:rRNA from 1 species